rfam:Heterocephalus glaber contig38945, whole genome shotgun sequence.
GGGGAUGUAGCUCAGAGGCACAGUGCCUGCCUGGAAAGUAUGAGGUUCUGAGUUUGAUUCCCAGUACCCCCC